UGUAAAACACAGAUACCCCCCCUCAUCACUGAAAGGACAGUGAAACCACUUCUUUAAAAUGUCAAUAUAAACCCAAAGUCAUUAGACAUAAUAGAACAGCACAGUUUCAAAAAAAUAAUUGUUUUCAAUCCAACCCAACACAUAGAGAAAAACAUCAACAAGAUCAGGAUUCAUCUCAGAAAAUCCUGUGUCCGCAUCUAUCCAGGGCAAAAGCACAAAGGUGCACAGGGUCUGUACAGGUGUAGGACAGGUGCGCAGGUGUAGGGCAGGUUCUGACAGGUUUUUUUUUUUCUUCCCCUCUCUCCAAUGCUCUGGAAAAUUUCACUCGGUGCUGAGGGUCUCCAUGGCGACAAAAGCACAAAUUAAUAACAAUAAUAAAGACACGAGGGGGGGGGG